UUUUCAUAUAACAGGAAACAUAACUCAGACAGGAAGCACAAAUACAACAGCGUAAAAAAAACAGCUUCUUGAAGAACUUUGUAAUUAACAAACAUGUCCUCUACUCUGAGUCUUAGAGUUUUUACAUCUAGUAGAAUGCCUUCAGUAUGGAUGGUGCUUCUUCAUUUUCAUAUAAGCAAUGCUGUUGCAGAGACGAUCAGAGUAUUUGGACGUAAAGGAGACUCCAUAAUCCUUGACCCUGGAAAAAAUAACGUGUGGAAUCAAAGGCAAUCAAUACCUGGAUUUGACAUGAGAUGGAAACAUUCAGAUAUGUAUAUUGUUAAAUAUUCCAAAGUACUGCCUAAUUUCGCUGAAAGGUAUAAGAUAUUUCCAAAUGGUACACUGAUGAUUAGCCAAGGACAUGAGACAGGCCGGGAAAAUUAUACAGUGGAACAAUAUAAUGGUAAUGGAGGUCUGAUAUCCCAGCGGAACAUUGAGCUCUGUGUGCUAGAACCAGUCACCAAACCAAAGGUGAGAUACUUUUGUUCUCAUAACGGAACGAUUAUUCUGAACUGCUCUGUUGAUAAAGGAGACCAGGUGGUGAUCAACUGGAUUGUGCAGGAUUUCUUGUCUAAUAACAUCCUGAGCACAGAUCCUGUCAUAUUUAUGGGCGACCAAAUGCCUGGAAAUCUGUCCUGUGUGGCAAAGAAUGAAAUAAGUAAAGAAUGCAUCAGCCCAGAUGUUCAUAGAUGCAGAGGUUACUAUUCAACUGUAACUGCAUUUGGACUCCUGGCAUUUGCCCUAUUGAUGCUCGUGGUGACCAUUCUGGAUUUGAAAAAGUGGUGCAAGAAGACAAAACCAGCAGGUGUGGAGGAGAACAACUAUGCGGAGAUGCACGGGGAUUUACUCAAUCAGCGACACGAGGAGCCCACGACCAACCCAGACCAAAAGAUCUCCCACUACAGUGUGGAGGAGGACCACUAUGUUGAGAUGAAAGGAGAUUUAUUCAUUCAGCAACAGGAGGAAGCCACAGCCGACCCAGACCAAGGCAUCUCCCAAAACGCAUUCCCCAAACCUGAAGCCCCUUCAAAUCGAAGAAAGCUGGAGUUGGAUGAUAAUAAUAUUUAUUGCUAAAGACCAUGGCAUCAAUGUGUGUUCGUGGCAUAAUGUUUGAAACAUGGUUAAAGCAUCUUACCUGUAACUGAAAGGUGGCUAGAAUGAAUCUCAGAGCCAUCCAUGUGAAAAAAGUUGUUAUUCUGUCCUUGAGCAAAGCAAUUAACCCUGUUCAUUUCAUCAUUUAGAAAAUUUAUGUUGAUGUAUUUCUAAGAUGAUCUUAUGAACUAAUAGUAUUGUCUACUUUUUUGUUUAUAUUUGAUUGCUGGUAGAGACUAGACUCUACAGAGUCUAGUCUCCAUACCAGACUGCACCACUAGGGGGAGGCAUAACAAUGUGUUGAAGACAGGUUUCUGUGACUGGGGGGAAAGAAACAUCACAUGAUUGCUGUAAUUGGAAUACAGCAGGGACAACUACAAAUUAUUCAAUUUCCAACUGUUUUGGUAAUAUUUCUUAAAUGUAUGGGUUUAUUUGUUCAAAACAACAAGGUAAGAUUUGCUGUAAUAAACUACAUGUAAUUCAACCG
rnacentral:lncRNA from 1 species